GACGUAGGGCGCGAGCGUUGUCCGGAUUUAUUGGGCGUAAAGAGCUCGUAGGCGGUCUGUCGCGUCGGCUGUGAAAACCCGAGGCUCAACCUCGGGCCUGCAGUCGAUACGGGCAGACUAGAGUGUGGUAGGGGAGACUGGAAUUCCUGGUGUAGCGGUGAAAUGCGCAGAUAUCAGGAGGAACACCGGCGGCGAAGGCGGGUCUCUGGGCCAUAACUGACGCUGAGGAGCGAAAGCGUGGGGAGCGAACAGG
rnacentral:rRNA from 1 species